rnacentral:rRNA from 1 species
AGUGAACGCUGGCGGCGUGCCUAAUACAUGCAAGUCGAACGAAGUUGGCACGGGGGAGUAAUCUAUAGUUAAUCUCCCUACACAGAGGACAACAGUUAGAAAAGACUGCUAAACCUAUAUUGUAGGAUGAGACUAUAUCUUAUCAGCUAGUUGUUAAGGUAAUGGCUUACCAAGUCUAUGACGCGUAACUGGUCUGAUAUGAUGAUCAGUAACAUGGGAACUGAGACACGGACGAGACUCCUACGGGAGGCAGCAGUAGGGAAUCUUCGGCAAUGGACGAAAGUCUGACCGAGCAACGCCGCGUGAGUGAAGAAGGUUUUCGGAUCGUAAAACUCUGUUGUUAGAGAAGCGGUAUCUAACCAGAAAGCCACGGCUAACUACGUGCCAGCAGCCGCGGUAAUUC